rnacentral:rRNA from 1 species
GACAGAGGGGGCAAGCGUUGCUCGGAAUUACUGGGCGUAAAGGGCGCGUAGGCGGCACUGUUAGUCAGGCGUGAAAGUCCUGGGCUCAACCUGGGAACUGCGCUUGAUACGGCAGAGCUAGAGGAUGGAAGAGGCUCGCGGAAUUCCCAGUGUAGAGGUGAAAUUCGUAGAUAUUGGGAAGAACACCGGUGGCGAAGGCGGCGAGCUGGUCCAUUACUGACGCUGAGGCGCGACAGCGUGGGGAGCAAACAGG